CAGAGUAGACAUCCCGUGAAAGUAACACCCAAUAUACUUUCUUUCGUUCAAAUUGUGGUAAAUUUCAUCUAAAAAAUAGUCUUACUAAAAUCAUGAAAUACUUAUACUUAGAUUAUAUAAAUUUUCUCAGAUUUCAUUAUAUGAUAAAUUUAAUUUUUAAGCUAAAUGAUAAGUAUCAAUUAAGGAAAUAACACAGAAAGCAAUAAUUUUAUUUUUCGUGGAAGAUGGCCUGUACGAUGAGGUAUCUUUGGGUACCCUAAGAAACCACAAAAUUUUGAAAAACGUGACCACGGGAGCUUACGACGACUUUCAUGAUUGGAAAAUAUAAUGAUUUUCCAAUAGUUUGCAUAUAAAUGUAGCCGUGUGUUAUCCGUUAACUUAAACUCGUUAACUAGACGUCUUUUUCGAUACUGGGCACCCUACUACAAGUGACAGUAAACAAUACGUUCUUUAAAGUAAGACAUUACAUUUUGUUGACAUUUAACGUAAAACA
rnacentral:lncRNA from 1 species